GAUGAACGCUGGCGGCGUGCUUAACACAUGCAAGUCGAACGGUGAAGCAGGAGCUUGCUCUUGUGGAUCAGUGGCGAACGGGUGAGUAACACGUGAGCAACCUGCCCCUGACUCUGGGAUAAGCGCUGGAAACGGCGUCUAAUACUGGAUAUGUGAUGUGACCGCAUGGUCUGCAUCUGGAAAGAAUUUCGGUUGGGGAUGGGCUCGCGGCCUAUCAGCUUGUUGGUGAGGUAAUGGCUCACCAAGGCGUCGACGGGUAGCCGGGCUGAGAGGGUGGCCAGCCACGCUGUGACUGAGACACGGCCCAGACUCCUACGGGGGGCAGCAUUGGGGAAUAUGGCACAAUGGGCGGAGGCCUGAUGCAGCAACGCCGCGUGAGGGAUGCCGGCCUGCGGGUUGUAAACCUCUUUUAGCAGGGAAGAAGCGAAAGUGACGGUACCUGCAGAAAAAGCGCCGGCUAACUACGUGCCAGCCGCCGCGGUAA
rnacentral:rRNA from 1 species